CGGCAAACAACAACAGAGCUUGCUCUGUCGGGUGGCGAGUGGCGGACGGGUGAGGACAACAUCGGAAUCUACCUUGUCGUGGGGGAUAACGUAGGGAAACUUACGCUAAUACCGCAUACGAACUAUGGUUGAAAGCGGCGGACCGCAAGACGUCGCGCGAUUGGAUGAGCCGAUGUCCGAUUAGCUAGUUGGCGGGGUAAAGGCCCACCAAGGCGACGAUCGGUAGCUGGUCUGAGAGGAUGAUCAGCCACACUGGAACUGAGACACGGCCCAGACUCCUACGGGAGGCAGCAGUGGGGAAUAUUGGACAAUGGGGGCAACCCUGAUCCAGCCAUGCCGCGUGUGUGAAGAAGGCCUUCGGGUUGUAAAGCACUUUUGUUGGGGAAGAAAAGCACUGGGUUAAUACCUUGGUGUCAUGACGGUACCCAAAGAAUAAGCACCGGCUAACUUCGUGCCAGCAGCCGCGGUAAUACGAAGGGUGCAAGCGUUACUCGGAAUUACUGGGCGUAAAGCGUGCGUAGGCGGUUUGUUAAGUCUGUCGUGAAAGCCCCGGGCUCAACCUGGGAAUGGCGAUGGAUACUGGCGAGCUAGAGUACGGUAGAGGAGAGUGGAAUUCCC
rnacentral:rRNA from 1 species